CUGGCCUCACACUCAGAGCUCUACCUGCCUCUGCUGGGAUUACAUGUGAGCAUCGCUGCCACCUGGUGGUCUCUGACUUCUGACGUCACCUUUGUCACCAUCCUGCCUUGUCUAAGCCCCAUUUUGGUCUGGUGCACUGCUGCUCGGGUCUGCACAGCAGCAGCGCUGUGCCCAUGGCAUGGCAGUGGGGUUGUGCGGCAACCACUCCUAAUUGUACCACUGAGGGUACCAAGUUCCACACAGUUCUUUUACACUCCGGUAGAUCUUCCCUUGCUGCCUACUGUCUGGAUUGAGAUAACCUGUGGGAGAAGUGUAGGCUUCUAAACCUGGUGGAGUUCCCAUCUUUGAGAGGCUGAGCCAAGCCACCUGGGACUACACAGCCUCACCUCAUUCCUGACCUCACACUUCAGUGCUGAAGUCUCCGGAGACUCAGCAGCACGGCCUGCGAAGGAUGGAGACAGCUGUGAGGUUUGCCCAGGGGUGGGAGGCUUUGGGAAGAUGAGGUUUGUGGAGUAAGGCUGGGCACACGAAACCUCAGGAUGCAUGGCGGAACACAUGGCUCCAGCUAGAGAGAUGCUGGACUGCGAGGAUUCGGGAGAAGCAGGGAAAGUGUCACCAUGCUGACGAAGGCACAGGGAAUGCAGAUGUCUCCUUUAAAGUCACAGAUGGCCUGUUUCACUCAGCACUGUUUGACAAAACCCCUCCUAAAUCAACCAAGAAGCUGUCUUCGUGUACAGGAGACCACAGCCUUCCUGCUUCCUUCCUCCUCCUCCCUUUUCCUUCUUCCUCCCUCCUCCCAUUUCUUUCUCCACAGACCAGACGUGCACACAAGCAGAAACUCUGAAAACUGGACAUUUCUCUCUUUUUACCUUGUCUCUGCCUCAGCCAAUCACUGUGAGAACGCUCAUUCCUACAUUCACCCCCAACAGAGACAUCUCCACCAUGGUCCAGCAAGCACACAGACCAUCACCCUACGAGGGAGAGCAAUGGUGCUCUUCACAAAUUCCAAAGUCUGUGACAUCCAAGUCUGUAUAGGAGAUGGUGUCCCUUAGGAUACCUUCAGAUUCUCCCACCCCCACUUCUCUGGAGUUGGGACCACAGACGUGCACCACUGCACCUGGACCCACAGUGCUGGACACAUCCCCUGCCUCUCCUCAUACCAUCCCUAGGCUACCUGCACAAGAUGAUAUGAACUGGAAAUAGUUGAAUGCUGUGUUAAGAGGGAACAAAAAGGAAAGAAGUUUGAAUGAGGUCAGGAAACACAUUCUUUUAAGGCGUUUCUAUUGCAUUAGUUGACUCCUUGGGUAAAGAAUCCAUGGACACAGUAAUUACAGAUUUGGUUCAUGUAUGCACAGUUGCUGGAGUCCUCUGUUCAAUCACUGGUCUCUUCUGUAACUGGACACAAACAGCUAUUUUCAUCUGUUAGCCACAUGCUAACCUGGACGAGUUAAUUCGUGUGAAUUCCUGGUGGCAGAGCCAGGCCUUGGAUGUGCUUUCCUUCCUAAGCUCUGUACCUCACUUAGGAGGGCUUACCUCUAGGCUUACACCCUAGAGCCCUGGUUCUGUGUAUGAGAGGUACUAGCAUCUGAGGGAACUCCAGUGUGCUUGCCAUUGGAAUCCAGGGCAUGUGACAUGGGAAAGGACACCCGAAGAGAUGUGUAUUACAGGGAGGACAGACUAGAUUUUAGUGGUUUUAUUGUGGUAAAAUACUCACAGCAUAGAAUCCAAUGCUGUGGUGUUUUGGCAGCAGACGUCAGUGCUGGUGACACCACCAUCUGUAUUCUGAACUUUCUCUUACGAAACAGAAUCUCAUUUGUACUCAGACUAACCCCAUCCCUUGCUCUCCCAAGUCCCUGGAGGCACCACUAGACUACCAUGCGCUUCUCUGUUCUAGGGAUGGUGUGUGAAUGCUGCAAUGUUUUUUAGCAUCGGUCCAGCCAGUCUAGCUUAGCGUAAUAUCUUCCAUAUUGGAAUCUGUGAGGAUUUCAUUCUUAAAAAUUUUUGUAUUUAUAAUUAUCCUGCAUGUGUGCGUGACGUGGAGGGUGAGCGUGGUGCACAUGAGAGAGCAGAGGACAACUGAGUGGCCUCGGGUCUCUCCGACCUUUAUGUCGGCGCUGGGGUGAUGCUCACGUCGGGUGUGCAGUGCCUUCACCUGCUGCGCCAUCUCAGAAGCCCCAUCCCUUUGGUAAACGUGACUGACACUCUUGUCAUUUGUGUGCAGGGCACUCUACCACUCCGGUCUUCAGUGACUGGACACUGGUGUGCAGGUCUCACCCAAAUGCUCACCUUACCUUCUUUGGGACUUUUUUUGGCCCCCUGUAGACCUGGCCUCCUCUAUCCCUGGACUUCAGACCAUUAGGAGGAAAUAGACUGAGAAGCUAAACACCAUUACAAGGAGCUGGCUGCCUGGAGCUCAGAUAUGAGACUCUUUUCUCGUCUGUGGUCAGAUGACCUGGUAUGCCGUGUCAGGUGACUGAGCAACCAGGGAAGUGACAAAAUGCUUGGCACAGGUCACCCAGACUGGUCAUGCCUGGGUGGGCUGAGUCAUAGGGUAGCAGAGUGGACAUGAUCCCAUCCUUCCUGACUGAGGAGGGACACACGUGUGUGAACACACAGGGAGAAGAAAAUGGAGGUGUGUGUGGUUAUAAUCAAGUUUGGCUUACACGGAACAUGUAACCCAACUCUGAGGACACACAUAUCUCUCUGUCUUCCAGUCACCCUCCCUUCUCUGGCGACAGAACCCCAGCUUGUCCUGAAGGAAGAAGCUGACAGGUGCAGCUACUGCAACAGGACCGCCAGGGAAGUCGGCUGGUGAUCCCAGCGCAUAUCAAAUUCCUGUUUCAAGUGGGCUGAAUGCUGCAGAUUGUUUCCUGGUGAUAAUUCUACAUUCACAUUGUGAACUGAUUUCGUCAGAUUAACACGCCCAUCACCUUGAUGUAUGCAGAACACUUACGGUGUAGCUGUGGAACUUUCAAGUAGAAUUAGAGUCAGGACCUACUCAUGACUGCAAUACCGGACCUUUGCCCAGCAUUCCGCAUGCCCAACGUACCAGGUGAAGCAUGAGGAGGCAACAUCUGUCUUGGUGACAGCCUCGUUCUCAGUGCCACGUUCUGCUUUGCAUGUUCUUGAAGGCAUGUGUGUUAGGAUCGUACUCAGCAGGUUUCUGAAUGCCCAUGCAGGAGGCCAGUCCUCUCGUUCCCAGCUUUCCUAAGACAGGGCUGCUGCUCUGAUGGGCAGAGGGCUUUGGCAGAGAGGCAUCUGCCUCCUGCAUUUUCCUAGUGCUCACAUUAAGACUGAAACCAGGGGCAAAGGGAACAGCCCUUUCUUGAUACAACCCAUUUUUUAUUUUGUUUAUAAUACUUCAUCAAGCUAUGUAUUUUUAUAAUAUGUUAAUAAUUAAAAAAAAAAACUAAAAACUCCAUAGCUAGCAAUGUUGUGGUCCACUUUUUGGUUUCUUGUGAUCUGAGGAUGAUCUCCUACCUCUACCUCUCAUGUGCUGGGAUUCCAGGCCAGCAAUCCAACAUUCAGUGUUGUCCAACCAUCACUGCACAAGGUCAGACACGAACUCCACAGCCUGUGAAGCUUCUGCCCUACUUCUGCCGCUGUGAACAGACUAUUCCAAGGAACUCAAAAAGAGGUGGACUCCCAGAAGUGUUUCCUUGCAACUGGUUAUUUCACAUAGCACAAAGCCUACAAGGUCCAUCCAUGUUGUGAUGAGGGCAGGAAUGCCUUCCUUUCCAGGCCACGGGUAAUUCUUGGUAUGUCUGCACAGCCGCCUGUGCUUAUCUAGUCAUGCAUGCCUUCUUGCUGCUGACAA